GCAGAUUCUUCCUCAAAUGGUGGAAGCUUCCUGGGGAGGCCUUUAGACCCUUCAGCUGAGGGCACAGCAGCCACGCUCCGUGACAUCUCUGCCAUGCACUGGAGGCCACAAAAGGCGGGUCAUUUCUGAGCUACAAAGUCAAGUGCAGGAACCCCUGGAACAGAAGGCACAGAAUAAGAAGGAGAUUGGAAGGUUACUGUUGUCACUGGGGAUCUUGAAAAUGCUGGCACCACGGCAACAGUGUCCCUUUACGACUAUGGAGAAACAAGAUGUGCGGGUCCUAUUAUUUUGGGCUCUGGGAAACACCAACUGUUUAACGCCAACAGUGCAGAUACCUUCAAGAAUUAGGGGUAGUGGACUGUUUGCUUCUUGGUGACCCUCCGAAGCCUUUGCCCUCAGUACAAAGACAUCUACUGCUUGGAGGUCAAUGCCAUCCACUAAAUAGGCCGCCUUGCCCGCAGCUGUCCGCAGGCGGUCUUAGGGUGCCUGAUGCGAAUGGGGGGACGUGGACUUGCUUCUGCUUCAUAUCCAGCAUCCCUUCACUGCCAUUGGUGUGAAGAUGGACAUGUUUGGAUGCCCUCACCAUCAGCCUGCGCUUUGAAUGGUUUUGAUUCGAUACCAAGUGCAAAACUUGGAUCUGGACCAGCGGCAGUUAUGUACAUGCUUCCAAGAGAGGCCACAUUCUCACAGGACCUCAAAAUAGCCCGCUAAGAUAGUCUCAGCAACAGGGGGUCGGGGAAGAGAUGGAGUUUGCUGCCAUCAUUUGAAUUAUGUAACAGAUUCAUGCCGUAUGUAAGUAGCUGGUGACUGUGUUGUUCAUACAAGCCUUAAAUUCAGACACAUUCUCUGUAUUUAUUUCAACCUUAUGCCAGAAAGACAUGAUGUAUAUAAAGAUGACUGUUUCUUUCACAGCCAUUGUACUGUCAAAGAAAUGAAAAUCUAUUUUGUGUGGUGUCUUUGCAAAGGAAAAAAGAGCACUCUCUCCUAGAGCAAAUUGUGCAGCAUACUUUGAUGCUGCAAACCGCACGUGUGACAUUUGCGGGCGCCAGGUGGAUGCUGGAAAUUAAGGAGCGACAGCAGCUCUGUUACUUCAGGUGGGAACAAGUCGCUAGUGAUGCCGUGCGAGAGUGAAAGCACUUGCUCCUGAACUGCAGUGUGGAGGAGAAAGCUGAAAAACGCUUGACAGUGCUCCAGGUGGCAAACGCCAGCAUUUUAAUAAGUCAGUACUGCUGAGAGUUCAAUGGAAGCGCUCAUCUGAAAGGGAAAUAAACUGAUGGAAUUGCAGAGUGGCCAGCAUGGUCCCCGUCCUAAACAGAGGGCACAUGUGAGCUGGGAGCGGCCUUUCCAAGUGCACUCGCCUGACCACAUGCUCCGGUGGAUGCCGGGAACAUCCGCCAGGGUUUUCAGAGAGAACUAAACAUCCUUUCCAUUCGGCACCAGCAUGAACUUGUAAUUAUCUGGGGAUAAGCCACACGAAGUAGUAUUUUAUGAUGACUUGUGUGCUGGAGUAUGCGUGCUUCUCUUAAAGCAGCCUGCGAGCUGAGGGGGCAGUUGAUGCAGCAUCAGGAUUUCCAGGAAGGGCAUUUUCUGGAGUUCCCUGGUAGCUCAGCAGCUUAAGGACCCAGUGUUGCCACUGCAGUGGCCCCAGUCGCUGCUGAGGAUUAGGUUGCAUCCCUGGCCCAGGAACUUCUUUAGCGCCAUCAAAGGGGGAACAAAAAGGAAGGGCAUUUUCUAAAAAUCUGUAACCCUUAGUUCUAUCUGGGGGCAAUGUUUCCUCACAUCUAGUAGCUGAUCACUUUUUGAAUAGAGUUUUAAAGGCCCUGCCAUUCUGUCUUUUGCCAUUGCCAUUAUUGAUUACUGUUAUUAUUAGAUUUGAUUGUCAGAAUGUUGUUCCCAGAGGGCAUUCCAGUCCCCUUCAUAGGCAUGAAGCCUCUAAAACUAACCGUAUACUGAAUUAUUGUUUCCCUUGGAAAACAGUUGGAAAUAAAUUGACUGUUAACUCUUGUUCCCAA
ensembl:lncRNA